rnacentral:rRNA from 1 species
AACGAACGCUGGCGGCAGGCUUAACACAUGCAAGUCGAACGCCCCGCAAGGGGAGUGGCAGACGGGUGAGUAACACGUGGGGAUCUGCCCAAUGGUACGGAAUAAUUCCGGGAAACUGGGACUAAUACCGUAUGUGCCCGCAAGGGGAAAGAUUUAUCGCCAUUGGAUGAACCCGCGUCGGAUUAGCUAGUUGGUGAGGUAAAGGCUCACCAAGGCGACGAUCCGUAGCUGGUCUGAGAGGAUGAUCAGCCACACUGGGACUGAGACACGGCCCAGACUCCUACGGGAGGCAGCAGUGGGGAAUAUUGGACAAUGGGCGCAAGCCUGAUCCAGCCAUGCCGCGUGAGUGAUGAAGGCCUUAGGGUUGUAAAGCUCUUUCGCCGACGAAGAUAAUGACGGUAGUCGGAGAAGAAGCCCCGGCUAACUUCGUGCCAGCAGCCGCGGUAACAC